rnacentral:tRNA from 1 species
UUUUUGUUAUCAUGGAGGUUUUGAAAGCCUUUUUAGAGAAAAAAAUUUCUCAACAAAAAU